AGUGGGGAAUUUUGCGNNNNNNGGGAAACCCUGACGCAGCAACGCCGCGUGAGUGAUGAAGGCUUUCGGGUCGUAAAGCUCUGUCAGAGGGGAAGAAACUCUUGUGGUCGAACAGGCCACAGGAUUGACGGUACCCUCAAAGGAAGCACCGGCUAACUCCGUGCCAGCAGCCGCGGUAAUACGGAGGGUGCGAGCGUUGUUCGGAAUUAUUGGGCGUAAAGCGCGUGCAGGCGGCCUGUUAAGUCUGAUGUGAAAGCCCGGGGCUCAACCCCGGAAGUGCAUUGGAUACUGGCAGGCUUGAGUACGGGAGAGGGAAGUGGAAUUCCGAGUGUAGGGGUGAAAUCCAUAGAUAUUCGGAGGAACACCGGUGGCGAAGGCGGCUUCCUGGACCGAUACUGACGCUGAGACGCGAAAGCGUGGGGAGCAAACAGGAUUAGAUACCCUGGUAGUCCACGCCGUAAACGAUGGGUACUAGGUGUUGCGGGUAUUGACCCCCUGCAGUGCCGAAGCUAACGCAUUAAGUACCCCGCCUGGGGAGUACGGCCGCAAGGCUA
rnacentral:rRNA from 1 species